rnacentral:lncRNA from 1 species
AUCCCUCGUGCCCUAGCUUCCUUGUUAGCCGCAGCCAUGAUAUGUUAAUACAUCCAUCCUCUGCUUCUGCACUGAGUUCUACAUACAGGAAGCAAUCGCCACCACUAGGGACAUCAGAUCAUCGCCUCUGCUAUAAACCGCCAUCUCUGGUUCGCGUGCAAAUCCACCGGCAAGAAGACAACACCGGCCGUGGGCUUUGCAUGAAGGUUCAACUUUAGAUGACUAACCAUAAUGGAUCAACCAUUGUCGACGUCUUUCUGAGACUCGCAGGUUGAUGGAUUGCUGAAGUGCUUCCCUUCUAGUUGAGCAGGCCUCAAUGCCAUCUGCGGCUGACCAUUGGUGAGCAUCUCCAUCGUGUAUUUUUCGUCCCUAUUUCAUCUGUCACAAGCCAUGUAUGCUAUCUGUUUCCCUAACGUGCCCUACAUCAUACCGAUCUGCAGCUGCCAUCCAGGUGAGGCGUAGUCUGCCAACAUGUCGCAAACACUGUCCUUCCCUGGUCGCCAUGGCCAUGCUCGUACUGCUCGAGCCAAUGAAGAAGCUAGCGUCUUUUGCUGCCUGCCGAGUCCUUAUAGCCUGUGUUCCAACUAGCCAGCAAAGCGGACAUGUUGCUUUUGACGUCGGUGUAACACCCAAAAAUUUGCUUUUGAACUAAUAGAGUUUAAUUGGAUUUAUUUCAAUAUUUGUGUGAGCAUUUUAAGUAGCAAAUAAAUAAUUUUUUGUAGAAAUUAAAAUUUAUCACAAGCUUAGUAACAAUGUUUUGUGCAUUCAUGCUGAAACAUAUUUUAUUUUAUGAUGAUUGCUUUUGGUUUGCAUUUAUUUAUCCUCAAAACUCUCUUGAAAAAGGUUUUGGAAAAACAAAAUAUAAAAGAAAUUAGAAAUAAGAAAAUAAAAAGACAGAACCCCUUCUCUCUCUAUUUCCGGCCCGAAG